UUUGUAAUUUUGAAGUUUAAAAGGAUAUUAGAUGGAUUUCUAAUUUUUGAGAGGAGAAAUGCUUUUUAGCAAAAAUGUAUUCAUAUUGGGUAUAAUUUUUUUAAAAGAUUUUACGUUUUACAUAAUGAACUGAAACAUCUUAGUAAUUAUAGGAAUAAAAAUCAAUUGAGAUUCUGUUAGUAAUGGAGAGUGAACAUGGAAUUGGGUAUUAACUUUAUCAUACAAAAUAGAAACUUUAAUAAGUGUUGGAAAACAUAGCCAAGGGAGGUAAUAGCCCUCAUAUGUAUUGUUUAAGUUAAUUUUUUAGUAAAUCGAAAUACGUGUAGUUUUGAUUGAAUAUAGGAGGCCCAUCUUCUAAACCUAAAUAUUUCUCAAAAAAUUAUAGUGUACAAGUACCAUAAGGGAAAGAUUGAAAGAGAAUAUUGAAAAAAUAAUAGUGAAAUAGAUCUUGAAAUCUAAUAUUUAUAAGCAGUUGAAGCUUUAAGAAGUAACAGCGUACCUUUUGCAUAAUGGGUCAGUAAGUAAAAAAAAUAGCGAGUUUAAAUUUUAAUAAUGGACACAUAAUGAAAAUAACAUAGUUAUUUUUUACCCGAAACCAAGUGAUUUAGUCAAAAACAGGUUGAAGCUGUAGUAACAUUCAGUGGAGGGCCGAACCCGUAUCUGUGGAAAAAGAUUGGGAUGAUUUUUGAUUAGGAGUGAAAGGCUAAUCAAACUUGGAAAUAGCUGGUUUUCUACGAAAUCUAUUUAGGUAGAGCAUAUUUUAUUCUUUUUUGAAGGUAAAGCACUGAAAAAAUAAGGGGAGUCCAAAACUUUACUAAAUUUUUUCAAACUAAUAAUGUUAAAAAAGUUAUAAUAUAGUCAGACUUAGGGUGAUAAGGUCAUAAGUCAAAAGGGAAACAGCCCAAAAUAUUAGUUAAGGCCCCUAAGUAAAUACUAAGUGAAAAAAGGUUAUUAAAAACAUAAACAAUCAUGUAGUAGGCUUAGAAGCAGCCAUCUAUUUAUGACAGCGUAAAAGCUCAUUGAUCAUAGUUUAUUAAUACCGAAAAUGUAACGGGGCUGAAGUAUUUCGCCGAAACUGUAAUAUUAAAUAAUUAAUAAGUAGUAGAACGUUUUAUAAAUCGUAGUUUUUAUUGUUAAAUAAAAAUAAGAUAUUAAAAAUGAGAAUGCUGGCAUGAGUAGCGUAAAACAAAGUGAGAAUCUUUGUCGCCGGAAGUUUGUGGUUUUUUAUGUUAAGUUUAUCUGCAUAAAGUUAGUCGGUUUCUAAAAAAUUUAGUUUUUACUAAAUCUUGAUGAUUAAAUUUGAUCGCAUUAUAAGUGACAUUUAUUGUAUUAAGGUAUCUUAAUUGAAAUUUGCGAUAUUAAAAAUACAAUAGAUCUGGAAAUAACUAUAAUGGAAAGCACCGUACUUUUACCGACACAGGAAGACUAGUGUAAAUGCACUAAGGCGUUUGAGAGAACUUUUUUGAAGGAACUCGGCAAAUUUGCUCUGUAACUUCGGGAGAAAGAGUGCUUAUUUAAUAAGUAGCAUAAAAUUGGAGGUAGCGACUGUUUAAUAAAAACACAGGACUCUGCAAAAUUGUAAAAUGAUGUAUAGGGUCUGACACCUGCCCGGUGCUAGUAAGUUAAUUGGAUAUGUUUUUGCAUUGAAAAGAAGCUCUAGUAAACGGCGGCCGUAACCAUAACGGUCCUAAGGUAGCGAAAUUCCUUGACGAGUAAGUUUCGUCCUGCAUGAAUGGUGUAACGACUUCCUCACUGUCUCCAAAAAAGACUCAGCGAAAUUGAAUUUUCCGUGAAGAUGCGGAAUAUUGGCGGUUAGACGGAAAGACCCCGUGCACCUUUACUAUAUUUUUAUAUUGUUUGGGAAAAUAUUUUGUGUAGAAUAGGUGGGAAUUUAUUAGAUCUUAACGCAAGUUAAUAGUUUAAAUAACAAUGAAAUACCACUCUUACUUUUUUUUUAAACUAACUUUUUAAAGAAAGGACCAUGUAUGAUUGAUAGUUUGACUGGGGCGGUCGCCUCCUAAAGAGUAACGGAGGCGCACGAAGGUAAGUUCACAUUGAUUUGAACUCAAUGGUAGAGUGUAAUGGCAUAAACUUACUUGAUUAUUAAAUUAACCAAUUUAGUAAAGAUUUAUAUUUUAAGUCUGUCAUAAUGAUCCGAUAAUACUGUAUGGAAAGAUUAUCGCACAACGGAUAAAAGGUACGCCGGGGAUAACAGGCUAAUGACUCUCUAGAGUUCAUAUCGACGGAGUCGUUUGGCACCUCGAUGUCGGCUCAUCACAUCCUGGAGUUGCAAAAGAUUCCAAAGGUUCGGCUGUUCGCCGAUUAAAGUGGUACGUGAGCUGGGUUUAAAACGUCGUGAGACAGUUUGGUCCCUAUCUGCCGUCAGAAUUAUAGAAAAUAAAAAAAACCUGUUUUUAGUACGAGAGGACCAAAGUGGACAAAUCCAUGGUGUAUCGGUUAUUUUUUCUAGUAGUGCCGAGUAGCUACAUUUGGAAUGAUUAAUUACUGAAAGUAUAUAAGUAAAAAAUCUCUUUUAUUAUUUUCUUAAUAUAGUUAAAGAUUAUAACUUAAAUAGGUUAAAAGUGUAGGAAUAGUAAUAUUUUUAGCUUAUUAAUACUAAUUGUUAUCAAAUCUUCAAGUUUAAAA
rnacentral:rRNA from 1 species